UGUAAGGUAACGGCUUACCAUGGCAAUGAUGGGUAGGGGGUCCUGAGAGGAGAUCCCCCACACUGGUACUGAGACACGGACCAGACUCCUACGGGAGGCAGCAGUGAGGAAUAUUGGACAAUGGGCGCAAGCCUGAUCCAGCCAUGCCGCGUGCAGGAAUAAGGUCCUAUGGAUUGUAAACUGCUUUAUACAGGAAGAAACACACCCUCGUGAGGGUACUUGACGGUACUGUAUGAAUAAGGACCGGCUAACUCCGUG
rnacentral:rRNA from 1 species